rnacentral:rRNA from 1 species
UACGUAGGGCGCAAGCGUUAUCCGGAAUUAUUGGGCGUAAAGAGCUCGUAGGCGGUUUGUCGCGUCUGCCGUGAAAGUCCGGGGCUCAACUCCGGAUCUGCGGUGGGUACGGGCAGACUAGAGUGAUGUAGGGGAGACUGGAAUUCCUGGUGUAGCGGUGAAAUGCGUAGAUAUCAGGAGGAACACCUGUGGCGAAAGCGGCUCACUGGACCAUAACUGACGCUGAUGCACGAAAGCGUGGGGGAGCGAACAGGA